rnacentral:rRNA from 1 species
UACGAAGGGUGCAAACGUUGGUCGGAACUAUUGGGCGUAAGGCGCACGUAGGCGGCUCUAUAAGUUGGAUGUGAAAACCCUCGGCUCAACCAAGGAAGUGCAUCCAAAACUGCAGAGCUUGAGUACUUAAGAGGAUCGCGGAAUUCCCGGUGUAGAGGUGAAAUUCGUAGAUAUCGGGAGGAACACCAGUGGCGAAGGCGGCGAUCUGGGAAGAUACUGACGCUGAGGUGCGAAAGCGUGGGGAGCAAACAGG